rnacentral:lncRNA from 1 species
GGGGGGGGGGGGGGGGGGGGGGGGGGGGGGGGGGGGGGGCCUCCAGCAGGAAUUUUUUUUUCCCCCCUUCCUUGGAAAUUCACAGCCAACCUGCUAAUGAGUCUUUGUGAAACUUGUGCCUUCUUACCUCUAAUUUUACAGCCUGUUCGGAUUUGAGCUCUGUGGACAGCCUCACAUUUGGUUGGGAAUUAUAGGCUGAGUGGCUGUUCUCUCCUAUUAUUGUGCUGUCAAUCUCCUAUUAGCACAUUAUAAUAUGCUACACUGAAUGCAUCUGUUCUGUAGAUCACAAGUCCUAAUUGUCAUUUGUUGAAUCACUUUGUCUUAUAUGAUUGUUAAGCAAUUAUUUCACCCAAAGCAGCUUAAACUUUGAUUACUGUAUAGUGUUUACAGGGAUCAAAGGGAAAAAUCAGCGGCGGCUUCAAACAUUUUUUUUUUUUUUUUUUGUGGAGGGGGGGGGGGGGGGGGGGGGGGGGGGGGGGGGGGGGGGGAACAUUUUUUUUUUUUUUUUUUUUGUGGAAGACGAGGAGCGAGUGGGAGAUGCCAACACACAGGAGUGACCUGGAGGUGCUUCCCUGUCAUCCUGCCUUGGGGGAAUGAUGUUUGUCCAGAAUGGUGAAAGGUCCAUCCAGUGCUGAGGUCAGGAGAUGGAUGUGAAGUGACAUUCCUGCCAGGAUUGCUCAUGGAUCCAGGCUCUGCUGGCAUGUGGCACCAGCUGCCCGCCGGUCCCCUCCGGUGGGGGGAAAACACCCCCUGGGAUGUUGUUAAACAUCCUGAGCAUCCCAGGGCUGAUCUCCCACGGAUUCAGAAUCCCAAAAAUCCCAGGGCUGAUCUCCCACGGAUUCAGAAUCCCCAAAAUCCCAGGGCUGAUCUCCCGUGGAUUCAGAAUCCCAAACAUCCCAGGGCUGCUCUCUCACAGAUGGAGCAUCCCAAACAUCCCAGGGCUGCUCUCCAGACAUUCCCAGGUCUCUGCCCCCCAGGACAGAGCAGUUAAAGGUUUCCCGGGGUAUCCAAGCCAUCCACAACCUCUCUCCUGUCCCUGCCAGUGCACCCCAACUCCUGCUCCUCACAGAGAUGCCCCCACGCACAACAACUGCACUAAAAACUGCCCCAAAAUGGGGUUUUUUUUGCAUUAAAAACUGCCCCAAAAUGGGGUUUUUUUGGGCAGCAAACUGAUGUUUGAUAAAGUUGGGUUCGACAGCUCAGUGUUUAAUCAUGACAAAAUGCUCGAAUCCGCCCUAAAAUGAUUAAAAAUUAAAAUCCUCCAGGUCAGGUUUUGCUGCCACCAGAGCUGAGCUCUGAGAGAUUCCACCCCGCUUUCAGCUCCUUCACCCCAAACCAUCCACGUUCCCUUCGCUGAGGAGGUGACCCCAAACCCAUCCCAAAUAUCUGGGAAAGCUCCCAUUCCCCCAUCACCCUUCGGAAAAACCGAUAAACAUUUCUAGAGAGAAAAACAAAGCACUCCUCGUUUGGCUUUUUUGGAGGUUGUUUUUCUUGAAGAGACAAAGUGUUCCACAGAGAGCCGACACUUCCUACACAAGUUUGCAUCCUCAAACCCCGAGAUUUUCUGCCACGGAUUUGGAUGGGAAAAGCAUCUCCAGCCCUCCCCGCCCCAGCCAGGAUCACCAAGCACCACAGGGAGAUGGAGAUCUCCUCCCUUCACCAAAUUUUCCCGCUCUCAUUCGGGAAUAAAUGAGGAAUAAUCGAAUUUUCCGGGUUUACAAAUAACCUCGCGAAGCAUAAAAACAACUCUCGUGCCUCAGCUCUUGUUCCUGAUCAAUUUAGGGUGAGUUUAGGAGGGAAAAAAUAUGGUCCCAAAGCAUCCUUAGAGGUUCAGGAGUAAGAAAAAAUUGUAUGUACUUAUAAAUGAA